GACUGAGUACAGAGUGCUCUCUGGGGUCAGGCAGCCCUGGGGGGUCCUGGCCCCUCCACCCCCUGGGGACUCAGGCUGCCCGCUCCAGCCCUGAAGCCACAGUUUACCCAUCAAUGUGGCGGCAUCACAGGACCUGCUCUAUGAACCUGCAGAGAGAGUGAACGAGACUAGACAGGAGCAGCUGCUCUUCCAACGGCCCCAGUGUCCCCAGCCCAGGAGACAUUCCCAGAAUACAAUGACAUGUCAGCCCCAGGCCAGGAGGGGACAGUGUGGACGGGCCAGGGGCACAGUUUCCUGAGAACCGCUUUGACAUCCAGGUACUCUCAGACCGUCUCCUUAGCACUGUCUCCAGAAGACUGCUCAGGCAAACCGGUCCAUGUUUCCAGCUAUUUUAUUUUACUUCAGGACAUUGUCUUUUACACAUGCGGAUGACAGUAAUGGUGAGGAUGCUGGUGGUGAUGAUGAUAUGACUGUGAUGGUGAUAAUGAUGGUAAAGGGGAUGUGGUGAUGACAAUGAUGGUAAUGGACAAGAGAUGGUGAUGCUGAUAGUGUGAUGAUCAUGGUAAUGAUGAUGGUCGUCAUGGUGAUAAUCGUGGUGACAAUGACAUCAUCAGAACCUCACUCUGCCCUGGACAGAAUCCCUGACUCCAGAAAAGAUGAUCAUUCAGAAGAUAAUUCAGCAAGAGAAAGAACAAACCCACUCUAAUAAAUCUGCACAUCCCUGGGAGGCAAAUAAACAACAACAAGCAUAUGUAUACACACACACGA